GACGAACGCUGGCGGCGUGCUUAACACAUGCAAGUCGAGCGGUAAGGCCCCCUUCGGGGGUACGACGAGCGGCGAACGGGUGAGUAACACGUGAGCAACCUACCCUUCACUUCGGGAUAAGCCUCGGAAACAAGGUCUAAUACCGGAUAUCACUCUUGGUCUCAUGACUGGGGGUUGAAAGUUCUGGCGGUGAGGGAUGGGCUCGCGGCCUAUCAGCUUGUUGGUGGGGUAAUGGCCACCAAGGCGUCGACGGGUAGCCGGCCUGAGAGGGCGACCGGCCACACUGGGACUGAGACACGGCCCAGACUCCUACGGGAGGGCAGCAGUGGGGAAUAUUGCGCAAUGGACGAAAGUCUGACGCAGCAACGCCGCGUGAGGGAUGACGGCCUCGG
rnacentral:rRNA from 1 species